AACGUACGCUGGCGGCACGCCUAACACAUGCAAGUCGAACGAAGUAGCAAUACUUAGUGGCAGACGGGUGAGUAACAUGUAGGUAUCUGCCCUUUGGCCUGGAAUAACACGAGGAAACUUGUGCUAAUACCGGAUAAGUCUUUACGGAGAAAGCUUUAUGCACCAUUGGAUGAGCCUGCACUUGAUUAGUUUGUUGGUGGGGUAAUGGCCUACCAAGACUGUGAUCAAUAGCUGAUUUGAGAGGAUGAUCAGCCACAUUGGGACUGAGACACGGCCCAAACUCCUACGGGAGGCAGCAGUGGGGAAUCUUGCACAAUGGAGGAAACUCUGAUGCAGCGAUGCCGCGUGAGUGAAGAAGGCCCUUGGGUUGUAAAGCUCUUUCGUCGGGGAAGAAAAUGACUGUACCCGAAUAAGAAGGUCCGGCUAACUUCGUGCCAGCAGCCGCGGUAAUACGAAGGGACCUAGCGUAGUUCGGAAUUACUGGGCUUAAAGAGUUCGUAGGUGGUUGAAAAAGUUAGUGGUGAAAUCCCAGAGCUUAACUCUGGAACUGCCAUUAAAACUUUUCAGCUAGAGUAUGAUAGAGGAAAGCAGAAUUUCUAGUGUAGAGGUGAAAUUCGUAGAUAUUAGAAAGAAUACCAAUUGCGAAGGCAGCUUUCUGGAUCAUUACUGACACUGAGGAACGAAAGCAUGGGUAGCGAAGAGGAUUAGAUACCCUCGUAGUCCAUGCCGUAAACGAUGUGUGUUAGACGUUGGAAAUUUAUUUUCAGUGUCGCAGGGAAACCGAUAAACACACCGCCUGGGGAGUACGACCGCAAGGUUAAAACUCAAAUGAAUUGACGGGGACCCGCACAAGUAGUGGAGCAUGUGGUUUAAUUCGAAGAUACGCGCAGAACCUUACCAACACUUGACAUGUUCGUCGCGACUCUAAGAGAUUAGAGUUUUCGGUUCGGCCGGACGAAACACAGGUGCUGCAUGGCUGUCGUCAGCUCGUGUCGUGAGAUGUUGGGUUAAGUCCCGCAACGAGCGCAACCCUCACUUUUAGUUGCCAUCAUUAAGUCGGGCACUCUGAAAGAACUGCCAGUGAUAAGCUGGAGGAAGGUGGGGAUGACGUCAAGUCCUCAUGGCCCUUACGUGUUGGGCUACACACGUGCUACAAUGGUAUCUACAGCAGGAAGCAAGACUGCGAAGUUAAGCAAAUCCCUAAAAGAUACCUCAGUUCGGAUUGCACUCUGCAACUCGAGUGCAUGAAGCUGGAAUUACUAGUAAUCGUGGAUCAGCGUGCCACGGUGAAUGCGUUCCCGGGUCU
rnacentral:rRNA from 1 species